ensembl:snRNA U4 U4 spliceosomal RNA
AGCUUUGCGCAGUGGCAGUAUCGUAGCCAAUGAGGUUUAUCCGAGGCAUGAUUAUUGCUAAGAAAUGCACUGUGCAGAGUGAGAGCUGGCCACUACAUAGUUCAAGGUGGUCACGUGGUGCUUACAUUUGUGAAACUCCCAGGA